GGAGUUUGGACCGUGUCUCAGUUCCAAUGUGGCCGUUCACCCUCUCAGGCCGGCUACUGAUCGUCGCCUUGGUGGGCCGUUACCUCACCAACUAGCUAAUCAGACGCGGGUCCAUCUUACACCACCGGAGUUUUUCACACUGUACCAUGCGGUACUGUGCGCUUAUGCGGUAUUAGCAGUCAUUUCUAACUGUUAUCCCCCUGUGUAAGGUAGGUUACCCACGCGUUACUCACCCGUCCGCCACUAAACAUUCCGGUUGAUUCGGUCCGAAGCAAGCUUCUUUCUUCAUCGGGUGGAAUGUUCCGUUCGACUUGCAUGUGUUAAGCACGCCGCCAGCGUUCAUC
rnacentral:rRNA from 1 species